UUGAACGCUGGCGGCAGGCCUAACACAUGCAAGUCGAACGGUAACAGGAAGAAGCUUGCUUCUUUGCUGACGAGUGGCGGACGGGUGAGUAAUGUCUGGGAAACUGCCUGAUGGAGGGGGAUAACUACUGGAAACGGUAGCUAAUACCGCAUAACGUCGCAAGACCAAAGAGGGGGACCUUCGGGCCUCUUGCCAUCGGAUGUGCCCAGAUGGGAUUAGCUUGUUGGUGGGGUAACGGCUCACCAAGGCGACGAUCCCUAGCUGGUCUGAGAGGAUGACCAGCCACACUGGAACUGAGACACGGUCCAGACUCCUACGGGAGGCAGCAGUGGGGAAUAUUGCACAAUGGGCGCAAGCCUGAUGCAGCCAUGCCGCGUGUAUGAAGAAGGCCUUCGGGUUGUAAAGUACUUUCAGCGGGGAGGAAGGGAGUAAAGUUAAUACCUUUGCUCAUUGACGUUACCCGCAGAAGAAGCACCGGCUAACUCCGU
rnacentral:rRNA from 1 species